CCUACGGGUGGCAGCAGUGAGGAAUAUUGGUCAAUGGGCGAGAGCCUGAACCAGCCAAGUCGCGUGAGGGAAGACGGUCCUAUGGAUUGUAAACCUCUUUUGCCGGGGAGCAAAAAGCGGUACGUGUACCGCAUCGAGAGUACCCGGAGAAAAAGCAUCGGCUAACUCCGUGCCAGCAGCCGCGGUAAUACGUAGGUGGCAAGCGUUAUCCGGAUUUACUGGGUGUAAAGGGCGUGUAGGCGGGAAAGCAAGUCAGAUGUGAAAACCAUGGGCUCAACCUGUGGCCUGCAUUUGAAACUGUUUUUCUUGAGUACUGGAGAGGCAGACGGAAUUCCUCGUGUAGCGGUGAAAUGCGUAGAUAUGAGGAGGAACACCAGUGGCGAAGGCGGUCUGCUGGACAGCAACUGACGCUGAGGCGCGAAAGCGUGGGGAGCAAACAGGAUUAGAUACCCUGGUAGUC
rnacentral:rRNA from 1 species